UCUACAUGCUCUCUGCUGUUUCUGUGACCUCAAGACUCUUUGCCGCUCAGCAGCUGCAAUCUGCUGCCUGGAGCUUGUCCGAGUUCAAAACCUAACUCCUCUUCAUCAGGAAUGACAGCUGAGAGGGGCUGUGCUGUGUUUUCAAAAUGCACAAAUGUUCCACUGCUAUCUUAACUAUAACAACUGCACUGCUGUGGUCUCAGUUGCUCUGUGCCACUAGAGUUCUUUUGGGAUUUGAAUUGAACCUCAGCCCUUCAGAGAACUUCAGAGCACAGAGCAAAAGCAAAGCAAUGAACGGUGCUACAAGACCCUGUUAUGGAUCAGAAUCGAUGCAAGGAAUGGUCCUUCUCUGAAAGCUUUACAAGGUAUGAAAUGAGAGAACUGAGGAAUACAGGCAGGAGAUGCAGCAUGAAGAACUGC